ACUGGGCGUAUAGAGAGUUCGAGCCGGUUCUGCAAGUUGGGCGUGAAACCCCCGGGCCCAACCCGGGGAAGCCGUUCAAUACUGCAGGACUUGAGGGCACCAGAGGGAGGUGCAAUUCCCGGUGUAGCGGUGAAAUGCGUAGAUAUCGGGAGGAACACCAGUGGCGAAGGCGGCCUCCUGGGCUGUACCUGACGCUGAAUGCGAAAGCUAGGGGAGCAAACGGGAUUAGAAACCCCGGUAGUCCUAGCUGUAAACGGUGGAUGCUAGAUCUAGGGGGUGUAGAUUCCCUCUGUGUCGUAGCUAACGCGUUAAGCAUCCCGCCUGGGGAUUACGGCCGCAAGGCUAAAACUCAAACGAAUUGACGGGGGCCCGCACAAGCAGCGGAGCGUGUGGUUUAAUUCGAUGAUACACGAAGAACCUUACGUGGGCUUGACAUGUAGGUAAUAGCGAAGCGUAAGCGGAGCGACCCUUCGGGGAGCCUACACAGGUGCUGCAUGGCGGUCGUCAGCUCGUGCCGUGAGGUAUCGGGUUAAGUCCCGUAACGAGCGCAACCCCUGCUCUUAGUUAUACGUGUCCUAAGAGGACUGCCGGCGGCAAGUCCGGAGGAAGUUGGGGAUGACGUCAAGUCAGCAUGGCCUUUAUGUCCAGGGCUACACACACGCUACAAUGGCCGAUACAAUGGGUUGCGAAACCGCGAGCUGGAGCCAAUCCUCCAGAGUCGGUCUCAGUUCGAAUUGCAGGCUGCAACUCGCGUGCAUGAAGCUGGACUUGCUAGUACUCGCAGGUCAGCAAUACUGCGCUGAUAUGUUCCCGGG
rnacentral:rRNA from 1 species